GGAGGAUCCAAGCGUUAUCCGGAAUCAUUGGGUUUAAAGGGUCCGUAGGCGGUUUAGUAAGUCAGUGGUGGAAGCCCAUCGCUCAACGGUGGAACGGCCAUUGAUACUGCUAGACUUGAAUUAUUAGGAAGUAACUAGAAUAUGUAGUGUAGCGGUGAAAUGCUUAGAGAUUACAUGGAAUACCAAUUGCGAAGGCAGGUUACUACUAAUGGAUUGACGCUGAUGGACGAAAGCGUGGGUAGCGAACAGGAUUAGAUACCCUGGUAGUCCACGCCGUAAACGAUGGAUACUAGCUGUUGGGGGCAACUUCAGUGGCUAAGCGAAAGUGAUAAGUAUCCCACCUGGGGAGUACGUUCGCAAGAAUG
rnacentral:rRNA from 1 species